rnacentral:rRNA from 1 species
AGUGAACGCUGGCGGUAGGCCUAACACAUGCAAGUCGAACGGCAGCACAGUAAGAGCUUGCUCUUACGGGUGGCGGGUGGCGGACGGGUGAGGAAUACAUCGGAAUCUACUUUUUCGUGGGGAUAACGUAGGGAAACUUACGCUAAUACCGCAUACGACCUACGGGUGAAAGCAGGGGAUCUUCGGACCUUGCGCGAUUGAAUGAGCCGAUGUCGGAUUAGCUAGUUGGCGGGGUAAAGGCCCACCAAGGCGACGAUCCGUAGCUGGUCUGAGAGGAUGAUCAGCCACACUGGAACUGAGACACGGUCCAGACUCCUACGGGAGGCAGCAGUGGGGAAUAUUGGACAAUGGGCGCAAGCCUGAUCCAGCCAUACCGCGUGGGUGAAGAAGGCCUUCGGGUUGUAAAGCCCUUUUGUUGGGAAAGAAAAGCAGCAGGUUAAUACCCCGCUGUUCUGACGGUACCCAAAGAACAAGCACCGGCUAACUUCGUG